AUGAACGCUGGCGGCGUGCCUAAUCCAUGCCAGUCGAGCGAACAGACGAGGAGCUUGCUCCUCUGACAUUAGCGGCGGACGGGUGAGUAACACGUGGAUAACCUACCUAUAAGACUGGGAUAACUUCGGGAAACCGGAGCUAAUACCGGAUAAUAUAUUGAACCGCAUGGUUCAAUAGUGAAAGACGGUUUUGCUGUCACUUAUAGAUGGAUCCGCGCCGCAUUAGCUAGUUGGUAAGGUAACGGCUUACCAAGGCAACGAUGCGUAGCCGACCUGAGAGGGUGAUCGGCCACACUGGAACGGAGACACGGUCCAGACUCCUACGGGAGGCAGCAGUAGGGAAUCUUCCGCAAUGGGCGAAAGCCUGACGGAGCAACGCCGCGUGAGUGAUGAAGGUCUUCGGAUCGUAAAACUCUGUUAUUAGGGAAGAACAAAUGUGUAAGUAACUAUGCACGUCUUGACGGUACCUAAUCAGAAAGCCACGGCUAACUACG
rnacentral:rRNA from 1 species